rnacentral:lncRNA from 1 species
CCACGACCCUGCUGACCCCCACCUCCAAGCAGGGUACAGGCCAGGGAGGAGGCAGAGCACCAUGGCGCCGGUGGUGGUUGCUGAGGGUUGUUGGGGGAGGACGGAGGGAUGUGGCUGUCCCCCUAAAGCAGCUGGUGCCUCCUGGGACCCAGACUUCAGAGGCUUCUCAGGGUACAGACGGGCAGGGAAACUGGCCUCCCUGGGGCAGGCCUGCAACUUCCCAGGCAGGUCCCCUAGGCAGGUCUGCAACUCCCCAGGUCCCGCCUCCAGUGCCUGAAGUCCAGUGUGCAUUACACUGAGCACCCAGGCAUUGCUUCUCCCCAGGCUCAGCCUCCAGGGCAGAAAUUAUAAAGCCUAGGUACACACGGGCCCCACUUUCCUGUGCCACAGACCCUGAACCAGGUGUCCAGACCCUCACUGCCCCUUAAUUCCUGAAAGCACCUGCCUGGAACACCAGGUAGCUAAUCCCAUACUGGGGAGCCCUGAGCACGGGGCUUUCAGAAUGGGAGAGACAGCUCUCAGCCUUCCUCACUCCCAGUGGUUGUGGGUCCCCACAGGACCCUGAAGGUGCCAUUUCCACUGCCCCCUCCCUGGUGCACCCUCAGUGCCCUGGAAUCACGAGGGAGCUGGGGAUGGAGGCCCCCCCCCCAACCUAAUACCUCUCAUCCAGAGGUGACCUUGGAGUGGAGGGUGCAGGACUAAGGAGGGGUCCCUCCCCCAGCCCAAGGGGAGGCCCUCCCUCUGCCCAAGGGGAGGCCCUCCCUCCUUCUGCCCCUUACACAUUCCCAGCCAACUUCAAGGACUUGGGUCAAUAUUUGCCAGAAGUUCCAUUGACGCUAGCUCCCUUUUGUCCUCAAGGAGAUAAUGGAACUGGGGAGUAAAGGGUUAAACUUCUGGGGGCCCUAAGGGCCGGGAAGGAUGCACUCUGGGGUCAAUUCCCUUUCCCUGAAGUCAAAGGUGUGGGGUAAAGAUCACCCAAGGGCAGAAGUCACACUCCAGGGUGGGGCUGGGCAGGAUUGGAAAAUGGUCCUUCCCUUCUGUUGGUAAGAACAAGAGAGGGAUGUCUACUGGCUAGGGUCACACAGCAAGACACAGAGUGUGGGCCAGGCUAGGACCCCAGGCAGCAUGACUUGCUAGGACUGAGUUUUCUUGCUACUUGGAGGGAGUAAGAGUUCUCCAUCCUUUACUUUUACAAAUAUUUAGUGAGUGCUUCGCUUUCAGCCCUCACUGGGCCCACCACUGGGGUCCAAAGGGGCUGAGGCUGCCCACAGUCUAAAGAAAAUCAGUUGCACAAGAAAUGAAAUGGUUGGAAGAGUUGUGUUUCAAAAACAAUAAAACAAAGUGAAGGAGAGGGAGAGUGCUGGGGGAAGGGUGGAGGGCCUCUCUGAGGAGGUGGCACUAAUCCUGUGAAGUGAUGGAAGAGAAAGGGCCAACUGGGGAAGAUGUGGGGAACAGCAUUCCAGCAGAGGGAACAGCCAACACGCAGAGGCCCUUCUAUAGUAACAAGCCUGGUAUGUUUUGGGAAACAGGGCUCCAGUGGCUGGGGCGGAAUGAGGGAGAGGAGGGGGAAGAGGAGAGGGAAGAAGAGGAGGGGAGAGGAUGGCGAGAGGGUGGCAGGACAAAGAUCUGCUUUUUCUUCUUUUAAAAGCUCCCUCUGCCUGGUGUGCCGAGAAAGGCAGAAGGGUUAUCAGGGAGGCCCUGGAGGAGGCCGGGAAGCAUCCCUGAGGGAGACCGUGGGGCCUGGAUCUGAAUGGGGUGGGAAAAAGGGGUCAGCAUCUCAGAAUGGAGAUGUGUUUUAGAAUCAGAGCCAACAGGAUUUGCUGAUGAAUUGGACAUGAGGGAUGAGCAAAGGAGAGAGUUGUCACGUGCGCUUCCAGGUCUCUGGCCUGAGCACCUGGAUGGAUGGGAGAGCCCUUUCCCAAAACCAAAAUGACUGGAAGAGAAGCAGAAAUGGAGGGAGGAAAAAAUCAAGGUUUUGCUCCAGAAGCCUGAAGUCCUCCCAGGAGGGAGUGAGGCGUCUCUAUCCACACAGAGAGCAUCUGCAGACAGGAGCCAUGGGGGAGUAGUGGUGAGUAUCCUAAAAACUCAAUUCCAGCCAAGGACUGCCACCUCCACUUAACCCUCUGGGUCCCCUGGCAGGUGGGACUAUGGCUCCAUGUUUCAGAGGGGACAAGCAGGGCUGGGGGUCACCUCUGCUCCAGGAUAUCCUCCAGUGCUGUGCUAAGGGCUUGGAUUGUAGAGACUUCUGCUGCCCUGCGUCUUCCCACAGAAGCUCCUAGACUGGGUGGUGCCCACUGUGCAGAGGAAGAAACUGAGGCACAAAAGGCCUGGUUUCCCGAAGUAAAUGGCAGCGUCUCUCCUUGUCUGUCUUCUCCAUCCAGAAUUCAGAUGGAGCAGGGGCGCCCUGGGCCCCUAUAGGCUCCCAUCCCCCAAUCUUGUUUUUUGACAGUCUGGAGUCUGAACUGGAGAUUUAAGUAGGAGAGGGUGGGGCUUCAGUCUUGGGCAGACAAAUGGGGGCUCCUGAGCCCCCCUCAGACACUUUUACCCCCUUGGCUGGUUGGGGACCAGGAGAGAGAAUCCAGGCCUCUAAGGGACUCCUGGAAAAGGGGACUUGGAGCCGUUCCCUUCCCUGGGCGCUGCAGCUGGGGGCGGGGCUGCGACCAAAAGUGGGUAAUUGCACCCCCCAACUCUCAUUUCAGGCACCCCCAUCCGCAGCAGCCUUGGAGGCCAGGAACCCUUUAUUCCUGGGCGCCCGCAUCGGGUGGGGACCGGGAGGAGGGAGAUGAGACGCCCGGACCGGGAGGGGUCCCGAAACUCGAGCAAUGGCCAAAAAUAAUAACACGGAGAAGGCUCUUUGCGCAAAAGAAGGAAGACAAACUAUGCGUCGCUCCGGGCAGCCGGCG